AUUGAACGCUGGCGGCAGGCCUAACACAUGCAAGUCGAGCGGAUGAAGGGAGCUUGCUCCUGGAUUCAGCGGCGGACGGGUGAGUAAUGCCUAGGAAUCUGCCUGGUAGUGGGGGAUAACGUCCGGAAACGGGCGCUAAUACCGCAUACGUCCUGAGGGAGAAAGUGGGGGAGCUUCGGACCUCACGCUAUCAGAUGAGCCUAGGUCGGAUUAGCUAGUUGGUGGGGUAAAGGCCUACCAAGGCGACGAUCCGUAACUGGUCUGAGAGGAUGAUCAGUCACACUGGAACUGAGACACGGUCCAGACUCCUACGCGAGGCAGCAGUGGGAAAUAUUGGACAAUGGGCGAAAGCCUAAUCCAGCCAUGCCGCGUGAGUGAAGAAGGUCUUCGGAUUGUAAAGCACUUUAAGUUGGGAGGAAGGGCAGUAAGUUAAUACCUUGCUGUUUUGACGUUACCAACAGAAUAAGCACCGGCUAACUUCGUG
rnacentral:rRNA from 1 species